CUACGGGACGCUCCAGUGGGGAAUAUUGCACAAUGGACGAAAGUCUGAUGCAGCAACGCCGCGUGGAGGAUGACACAUUUCGGUGCGUAAACUCCUUUUAUAUAAGAAGAUAAUGACGGUAUUAUAUGAAUAAGCACCGGCUAACUCCGUGCCAGCAGCCGCGGUAAUACGGGGGGUGCAAGCGUUACUCGGAAUCACUGGGCGUAAAGCGCAUGUAGGCGGACUUGUAAGUUGGAAGUGAAAUCCUAUGGCUCAACCAUAGAACUGCUUCCAAAACUGCUUGUCUAGAAUAUGGGAGAGGUAGAUGGAAUUUCUGGUGUAGGGGUAAAAUCCGUAGAGAUCAGAAGGAAUACCGAUUGCGAAGGCGAUCUACUGGAACAUUAUUGACGCUCAGAUGCGAAAGCGUGGGGAGCAAACAGGAUUAGAUACCCGUGUAGUC
rnacentral:rRNA from 1 species